rnacentral:tRNA from 1 species
AGUCCCGUGGUGUAGCGGUUAGCACUCAGGACUCUGGAUCGUGCGACGGGAGUUCAAAUCUCCCCGGUAGCU